CAGCCGCAAUGCUCUCUUCUCUCCCUCACUCUCCUUUUCCCGUCUCCCUCUCGGCCGAAAGCCUUAAGGGCUCCAACUCCGGUGACCAACGACGAACAGCUCUCCGAGAGAUACCCAACGCCGACGGGAACCAAACCCUCGCUUCGCAACCCAGUCGACUAAGGUAACCAAGGGUGCCAGAGUAUGGGCACGGUGAUGGGGAAUUGAACCGUGGAAUGCUCGUGGGUAGCAGAAGCUGCUCGGUUGUAGAGCCUGCUGAGCGCUGCUUCAUGUGGAUUCCCGGUUGUAGUUCACGUGGGGAACAUGGCUGCUGUAACCGAGAGGCAUGGGUGAUUGGAAGUUGUAGGGCGCAUGGCUUCAUCAGCAUGGGCACGGGCGUGGCGCUUGGCUCGUGGAGCAGGGCACGCGGGAUGCUGUCGGUUUGUCUGGCGUGCACGAGCUUCACAUGGGAGUUGGAAAUGGAGCUUCACAUGAGGCGCAUGGUCAGCGUUUAGUGGAGCAACAGCCCCUAGGGGCUUCACGUGAGCAACAGCUAAAUCGGGUCUCUGCUUUGUGGGCUCGAGUCUUGUAAUUGUUGUUGUGAUUAUUUUUACUCUAGUUGGGCUUGUAAGAUAUAAACGGACUUUAAACACUUUAA